CAACACAUAUUCUACUACAUCUUAAAGCACGAAGUCGGUGCAUAUAUUGAAGUUACAAUUUUCUCCUUUUGUCAGAAAUUACAGUUUUCCCCUUUGUUUCAGUUUUAUUUUCCUUUUACGUUUAGGGUUUCUGCGUUUUUUAGACGCCCACUAACAUCAAAGAGAGAGAGAAGCAUAGAGAGUGGGAGGAGAUCGAAGAUGAGAUAGUAAAGGACGUCAACCACCCUGUUCUGGUAACCACACACGGCGCCACGGCGGUGCUACGACGGAGCCGGCCAUACUUUGGAGAGUGAGGAGUCUUCAAACUCAAGAUGAGCACUUUCACGGUGGUUCAUGCCAUUUAUUUAGGUGAACAUAGGCAGGUGUAGGUUUAUUCACUCAUGGUGUGUAUAGGCGGUGAGGGUAAUUUCGGCUAGAAUUUCCAAAGGUGUACCGCCGGAGCCAUUGCAAAAGAGUUGAGCCUCGGUGGCCCAUUUACCGAUGCUCGAGUCGAAUGAGCAACCAACACGACCAUUGACCACCACUGGUUGUUCCUUUCUUUUUGUAUCAGUGAUAGAUUAUAAAAGAAAAUUGUAAAAUUCAAAGGGUAAAGAGGUAAUACGAGAGAGCCUGGUGAGCGACGCAAAUAAUCCGGGUGAUAUUCUGGCCCACUCAGAAACUUGAUUCUUCUCUCAAGUGACUUUGUAUCGUUUCAUUUCUUGCUACUAAUUCAUUGUGAUGGCUUGAUUAUUUACUUUUCACAUGUUGGGGAUUUAUAAAUUACGGGGGCUGUGUUGUCGUGAUAUUUUAAAUUGGUAAAAGAAAAGGUGACGGUCGUUACAUGGGUUUUGGUUACACGUGCUGUUGCAUGUGUCGAGAAGGAUGGGAUUGUUGUUUCAUGUGUGUUUCACCUAUUAGAUUGCUACAUCAAGAUGACAUUUUAUUAUAGGAUUACUUGAUUGUAUAUAUUCCAUAUGGUGGAUGCUAUCAUGAAUCCACUUGAGUUGGUAGAAGAUUAAAAAUGGAUGUUGUCGUAUGUGUAUAGUUGGGAGCAGCCGCAUAGAAUGCAAAGGGGUAUUUCGGGCUCAUGAGUUCAAAUUUUUGAUGUGCCAAAAUUGAUUUAUUAGAUGGGUAUCUAUUUCUUUACAUUGGGCCAAGCCUAAAAAAAUUAUUCUUGGAGUUCUAUUUACUACAGUUUGUUUAAAAUUCUGUAAUGAGAAUUACGCAUGUUAAUUUUAACUAUUUCUCUUUGUCCAAGGUAAAAUCCCUAUAAGUGUUCUUGAUUUUGGGAGGCUUAAAUUCACUUACCUUUGUUAUGCUCUUUUGUAUAGAAAUUUGCAGACCUUCCAUCAACAUCCAUGUAAGAAUAAAGUACCAAAAAGAUUAUCAAAUGCAAGUUGUCAAUGAUAUGCUUGCAAGCCGAAAGCCACAUCCAUAAUCAUUGACUGGACAUGCGAAAAACAGUGUCACCUACAUUAAAAGGGCAUGCAAGAAUGUCAAAAAAUUUAAAAUCGAAGAUGAAUGAGAAUGAGGCCGUAAAAAAUCAAGCAAAACAAUAAAGUAAAAGAUUGUUGGGCAAGGUAGCUUUUUUGUAAGCCGAAACAAUUCCAUAUGCAUCUAAUUAACUUCCAGUGGUAAAUUUCGGCAUACAACAACAAUAUGACAUGUUUGGUGAUCAAGGGAAGCAUUAGCGACGUACCACAUUUUCGCGUCAACAACAAAAAUUGGACUAGCUACAUAGGAAGUUGACAAAGUCGAUACCUUUUUUACCGAAAUGUUAUGUUAUCCGUUCGAUUUUUGCGAUAGGCCCGCGACGCAACGUGCGCGGGUCUAAUUGCUAGUUCAUUCUUAUUAUAGUGUAUGCAUGGUUGCAUACCUUAGAUGUGUUACUAAUAUUUCAUCACUACUAGAAAAUUGGGCUUUUACCACCACGUUUUCAGUAACGAUGGCAAUUGCCCUUUUGCCACGGUUUUGCUAUCAAAAACUUGGUAAGAAAUACACACGUAGCAAUUGCCCUAUUGCCACCUGUUUGCUACCGUUUUAUUUUUUGCUACCGUUUUUGCUACCGUAAUUUUGUC